rnacentral:tRNA from 1 species
GGCAAUAUGGUGUAGUGGUAUAAGCAUUGGACUACAACUCUGGAGACCAGGGUUCAAUUCCCUGCUUGGCCA